AGAGUUUGAUUAUGGCUCAGGAUGAACGCUGGCGGCGUGCCUAACACAUGCAAGUCGAACGAAGCGCAUGCCUGGAACCCUCCGGGGGGAAGGGCAUGUGACUGAGUGGCGGACGGGUGAGUAACGCGUGGGCAACCUGCCCCGCACUGGGGGACAACAGCCGGAAACGGCUGCUAAUACCGCAUAUGCGCACAGCUUUGCAUGAAGCAGUGUGGAAAACUCCGGUGGUGCGGGAUGGGCCCGCGUCUGAUUAGCUGGUUGGCGGGGCAACGGCCCACCAAGGCGACGAUCAGUAGCCGGCCUGAGAGGGUGGACGGCCACAUUGGGACUGAGACACGGCCCAGACUCCUACGGGAGGCAGCAGUGGGGGAUAUUGCACAAUGGGGGGAACCCUGAUGCAGCGACGCCGCGUGAGCGAAGAAGUACCUCGGUAUGUAAAGCUCUAUCAGCAGGGAAGAAAAUGACGGUACCUGACUAAGAAGCCCCGGCUAAAUACGUGCCAGCAGCCGCGGUAAUACGUAUGGGGCAAGCGUUAUCCGGAUUUACUGGGUGUAAAGGGAGCGCAGGCGGCCUGCCAAGUCUGGUGUGAAAACCCGGGGCCCAAACCCGGGCCUGCAUUGGAAACUG
rnacentral:rRNA from 1 species